GGAUGUGGCUCAGUGGCAGGGCACUUGCCUAACAUGCAUGAGGCCAUGGGUUUAAUCCCCAACACUG
rnacentral:tRNA from 1 species